CCAUAGCAAGAACAAAGGAAGAAAAGAAGAACACAAACCCUAGGUGGGAAAAUUCAAGGGAAAAGUGUGAAAAUUCAAGUAAUCAGGCAAUCAAAGGUAAAAUUUCUGGAUUUUGACUUGUGAUCUACCUUUCCCAUGCGUUAUUUUGCAUUUUUCAUGGUUGAAUCACAAGAUGUCAUGAAGGAUUCAUGGCUGACCGAAUUUAGAGAGAGAAGAUUUGGUGGUUGUUUUGGUUAGAUUUUAAGAUAUUUUAGUGUUUUUAGUUAGUUAGUGAUGUGAAGCAUGAAAAUCAAACAAGAAAAAUUCAUUUUCUCCCAUAACCCAUCAUUGUUCGAAUUUUUCAAGAGAAAAUGUGAGGAUGAUUUUGCCACAUUUCAAGUUAUUUAAAUUGUGUUUAAUGAUUUGGAGUAUUGGGAGAAAAAUGGAGUUAAUUGGAGUUGAAUUGGACAUAUUGACCAAUUAAUCAAUGAUAGAUUGAAUUAGGCCAAUACCGAUUUAAUUAGGGACCCAUAUGAAUUUGUGUAGAAUAUCGUGUUUAGACGGUAAUCCGAACAAUUUGCAUCCCAUUUCAUACAUUAGUAUAAAGUCUGAAUUGGUUUUAUAACAAUUUAUCACAAUGUAGUAAAUGGCUUAUUGUGUAUUGUGUAUAGGCGGUGAGCCCUCUAACAAGGGUAAAGAUGUUGUGUCAGAGGACUGAGAAUAGGAGUAUUUCAAACUCUUGAUACAGUGAGUAACCUUAAUAUCGUCUUAAUUAUCUAAAAUAUGUUUUAUUUGAUUUUGUGAAUUUUAUGGAAAAUGAAUUAAAUGAUUAAUUUUUUGAUUUUAUAAACCAAAUGUGAUUUAAUGAUAUGAUUUCAUAAAAUUGUUUUGAAAUUGAAUAAUGGCUUUGAAAAUAGAGUAAUUGGAGACCAUUUGAUGUAUUGUGAAUUUAUGGGUCUAAUUGAUUGGCUUAUGACAAUAUUGACAUGAAUGGCUGAUUUGGUAUUUGUGUUGAAAUGUAUAAACUGUUGUUUGCCUUGAUAGGCUAGAUAAUGAAAAAAUUGCCAUGUCAUGCUGUUGAAUUUUUAUUGUAUGGUGGGUUUAGCUUGCUGCAGUGGCCUGGUUCUGAGGACAAGCCUAUUAGAGGGGCACGGAACCUGGUCAUAUUCAUACUUCAGUAUGAGAGGCGCGGAUGGAUAACUUCUGAGGUUAACACUUUAGAGUUUACUUCACGUCAAACCACCACGUGAGUGUGAACUCAGCCAACACCAAGGAACGAUUGUGUUUCCAAAAUAAAAACAUGAUUUAUGCGUACAUAACUAUUUACCAACCUUGGCGGACUCGGUUGGGAUAGCCCUCGAUCAAGGCAUCCUGGAUAACUGGGUAUAAAAAUGAUUUUGGCACGAGCCAAAGUUUUAAGAAAUUCAUAGACCAUGUUGAUUACUAGAUUUAUAUGAAUUGAUUUUAUUUGGUUGAAACAAGUUGAAAGGUGAUGAAUUAUAGUAUGUUAAAUUAUUUUAUCUGUCUCCAUUUACUCGGCUUUAGAUAUUUUAGAUGGUAUUUGUUUAUUCACUGGGAUUAUAUAAUCUCACCACUCUCCUUUCCACCCAUUUCAG
rnacentral:lncRNA from 1 species